rnacentral:tRNA from 1 species
GGAGAGAUGGCCGAGUUGGUCUAAGGCGCCACGUUAAGGCCGUGGUCUAUUCGUAGGCGUGGGUUCAAAUCCCACUCUCUUCA